AUUGUUUAGAUCUGAAAUCAGGUGGGACUACCCGCUGAACUUAAGCAUAUCAAUAAGCGGAGGAAAAGAAACUAACAAGGAUUCCCCUAGUAACGGCGAGUGAAGCGGGAAAAGCUCAAAUUUAAAAUCAGACAGGUCAUCCUGUCCGAGUUGUAGUUUCAAGAAGCGUUUUCGGUGCGCGUCUGGGUAUAAGUUCUUUGGAACAGGACAUCAUAGAGGGUGAGAAUCCCGUUUAUGACCCGGAACAGCGUACUAUGUGAUACGUUUUCUAAGAGUCAGGUUGUUUGGGAAUGCAGCCUAAAAUGGGUGGUAAAUUUCAUCUAAAGCUAAAUAUUGGCGAGAGACCGAUAGCGAACAAGUACCGUGAGGGAAAGAUGAAAAGAACUUUGAAAAGAGAGUUAAACAGUACGUGAAAUUGUUGAAAGGGAAACGUUUGAAAUCAGUCGUGCGGGCGGGUAAUCAGCUUGGCCUUUGGGUCUUGUGCACUUUCUCGUCUCGCAGGCCAGCGUCGGUUUUGUUUGCCGGAUAAAUGCCAAGGGAAUGUAGCUCAACCUUUUACGAGGAGGGGUGUUAUAGGCCUGGUAAAUACGGCGGUCGAGACCGAGGUCUGCAGUCGAUGCCUCUCGGGGCUUGGGGACUCCAUCGCUCAUUCGCACCCGCGCCUAGACAGCUUGCUGACUAGGUGUGUGGUCUGUGGGUGACACGGUGGCCUACCACACAUCGACUUAGGUCGCUGACGUAAUG
rnacentral:rRNA from 1 species